ACGACCUUACUUGAACAGGAUCUGUUCUAUAGGCUUGUACCUCUGUGUCCUUGUGUUCUAAAGAGACAGGAUAUCAAGUCUGGUGGAUGAACACUGACCGUAUGAUCAGAGCGUGAUUAACAGCCCUGUGAAACCACUAUUCACUGGUGCAGUAGAGGAUCGUUCUCAGCCAUUCAAGGUUGAGAUGAUUAUACGGUUGUCUGACAGACU